UGCCCCGGACGCUGCUUGGAGCAGGGCUUGUUCCUGGCUCAGAUCCUCCCUCGCCCACCCUACCCCCGGGACCGCUUCCAGCCCGAUUUCCCUCCGGCCCUGCCGCCACCGCACAGCGCUGUGCCUCCUGAACCAGCUUCUCAGAUUCACUCUGUGCGGAGAUUUUCAAAGUUCUCCGAGCUCCUGCUCUGUGCACCAGGCUGUUUUCCACGGCUUUGCCUUCAACCUACUUUUUAUGGGGGUGUUGAUCAUGUAGAGCGGGACAGGGAGGUUUGCUGGGGACUGGCCUUACACAGCCUUAUCCCCCACCCUCCCUUUGGAAAAGACUAGCGUGGAAAGUGGGAGCCAAGUCGGUUUAGUUCAGUAUCUGGGAACACGCCUGAGAAGACUUACUAUCAACCUACGAAUGACUUCAGAACUAAAGUCAGAUUAAGCGUAUGAGCAGAAUUAACAGCAGCAAUACUGUGUCAAAGCUGCAGAAGGGCUUCAACUUUAAACAAUGAAUAGGAAGCCAUUCCCCACUCUUUCAUCCCUCUGUGUAUCUGUGUAGACUGUCACAGGCAGAGCUGUUUGGGAAUGGAGCCCUUACCACCUUUCACUGGAGAAUUUCAGGAGAAUGGCAAGACUGGAAGUGCAGAAACAACUGGACCAGCUGUGUUGUGGUAUGGCAAGAAUGCUGUGAGAAGUGGGCCAGCCCUGCCUGUGGUGGCAAGCAGCACAGCCCGGGUAAAAAGCUUAUCCCAAAGUUUAGACUUCAAAUUUUCAUUACAACCUCAGUCAAUGUGAAGAUACACAAAAAUAUGUUUAAAAUCCAGAUGUUGCUGACAUCUACAGUAGGGGCCCUCUGAGCCUGGAAACUUAACCCCCAAACGUUUCCUUGCAUUGUCAUAAUCUCUAAAUGAAAAUGAAGGGAAACAAAGAGAAAAUGAAAGCUGAAAUUAAUAGAAACAGUUGGAAAUGUUUCCCUUUCAAACACAGGUGAAAGGAUGAGCUUUUUCACAGGCUAGAAGAGUCAGGCAGCUUCUGGUCUGCUCAUUAGCUUUUGGAUCACCAGGAAGAAGUAAGAUUUGCAAGCAUUCCAGGUUUAGACUUUUUAUCUCCCUGUGCUCAUAAAAAAUUCAAAACAGUUUACAAAUGGUGAUGUGCAGAGAGACUAUAAUUUAAUGUCUAAUAUCUUACAGAUGAAGAAAGAAA